GGGGGGUGAAUAGGCGUAUCUUAAAAACCUGAAACUCAAAAACUCAAGUUGCGGAAGUCAAAUGCCUGUCGGUACCACCGACAGUUUGGGCCGGUACUACUGGUGUCACACAGCCAGUACUACCGACGCAAAUUGCUGGUACUACCGACUCCCUAAGACAGCUACGAAAUCUGAGUAUAAAGUGCUUAGAUUUCAGAUCUGAGUUUUACCCCACUUUCCUAAGCAUAGAGGAGGAUGUUGUUGGAGUUCCCUUAGCUCAAUCCUUCACCAAACCGUAGAUCGACCUUUGUUUACCUGUUGAAAGAAGGAAGAAAGAGAGGAACACAAAGAACACAAGCAAGGGUAGUCGAAGCUACCUCCACAGCAAGACAAGGUAUUUUUCCCGAGGUUCGGCAAUCUCCACUUAGGAGUACCUACGUCCCCGUUGUUGAGGUGACCACGAAGGUCUGACCACUUAGGUCUCCUCCUCAAGCAACCACAAAGGUUGGCUUGAUGUUUCCACUAAGAAUCAAGGGGUAAUACAAACACUUCGGGAUGCCCUCACAAAUGACUCAACACGGGCAACCACGAAGAACGCCUAGCCGGCUAGGGUUCCAAGAACCCAAGAGUAACAAACACAAACCAAACCGGCAAGGCAAGGAACGGAGUGCUCAAGUCGCAGAUCGAUGCUCCCAACUCUCUAAUCUCACUUCUCUAGCUCGAAUCUCUCAAGAAAUGAAGUCUAGGAGCAAGAGGGAGAGAGAGUGGGUGAGCUGAAGCUUGGAGACUGUUUUCUCAGAGGUGGAGUAGCUGGAAUGAGCAAGCCAACGGUUAGAAAAGAGGGGAAAGCUAUUUAUACUAGAGUACAGAACACUGGCCGGUACUAUCGGUGCAAACACCGGUACCACCGGCGCCCCCAGAUCUAAACGUGAGAAAGCUGAGAAAGAUGCGAGAAAAAGACCUACCGUUACUACCGGCCUUGGGCCGGUACUACCGGCCAGCGCCGGUACUACCGGUGGAAGGCCGGUACCACCGGCAGUGCAAAAUCUCGCAAAACAUGAGUUCUGCGGGAUUUUUGCCUGCCGGUACUACCGGCGUUUCACCGGUACCACCGGCGGUAGCCGGUACCACCGGUCAAAGCCCGGUACUACCGGUAGUUCAUUUUCUCGCAAAACUCAGGAGUAGAGCUGGCACUGCCGGUACCACCGGCCCUGAGGGCCGGUACUACCGGCUCACCCUGGCAGAGAAAGGACUUUCCAGAAGUUCGUGCGUGCAAGUGUGUCUCUCAAGCGUACAACCUAAGAUGACUUGAGCACCUUUAUCCUCAUCUUACCGACUCAAUUUGUAUCCCUCUUGAUAGUGCGGCAUUUCCUAUAACUCAAACAAGAAAUAAAACUAGGUAGCUUCUUGAGUUGAAACGUCGCUUAUAUGAAGAAAUUUUGGGGGUGCUGUGAUUCACCAAAUGUGUUUGUUUGAUUCCAUCAAUGAACUAACACCUGUAGAUUACACUUGAUAGACAUGUUAGUUCCUAAUUUGAUUGUCAUUAAUUAUCAAAACCCACACCGGGGGUGAAUGCACUUACAGAGGUAAAGGAGGCGUUGUUCCAAAUGUUCCCUACGAAGGCGCCGGGACCUGAUGGUUUUCCGGCACAUUUCAUUUAGA
rnacentral:lncRNA from 1 species